rnacentral:rRNA from 1 species
UACAGAGGUGGCAAGCGUUGUUCGGAAUUACUGGGCGUAAAGGGCGCGUAGGCGGUCUUGUCAGUCCCUUGUGAAAUCCCCCGGCUCAACUGGGGAACUGCACGGGAAACAGCAGGGCUUGAGUUCGGGAGAGGGAAGCGGAAUUCCCGGAGUAGUGGUGAAAUGCGUAGAGAUCGGGAGGAACACCGGUGGCGAAGGCGGCCAGCUGGCGCUGACCUGACGCUGAGGCGCGAAGGCAUGGGGAGCGAACGGG